UAAAAUCCUUAUUGUUAGUGUUGUUAUAUGCUUGUUGAGGGUUUUGGGUAUUCACGUUUCAGGGUUAAACCAUUGUAACUAUAGAGCCGUGUUUGAUGGUGUUGUUGCGGAGAGUUUUCAGUGUAGCUAAUGCCACUGCCGUUGUUUCAUUCUCUUAGUACAGGUCGAGUUUUGUUGUGAAGGGUGCUUUUUGGGCUAUACGGCUGCGGGAAAUAGUCGGAGUCAAUGCUGUUCGAUUUCGGAAUGAGGAAAAAGGAAUUCUCCAACGCGUUUGGUUAGUGGUUUUGCGAGCUUUAUCGUUUCAGGAAUCGGAUGAUGCAUUAUGAAGAGUUAUGCUGGGUUUGAUUUAUACGUUGUAUUAAUUAGAUUAUUUUCUUCCCUCAC